GAAGGGGGGACGGAGAAGGCUAUGUUGGCCGGGCGACGGUUGUCCCGGUUUAAGCGUGUAGGCUGGUUUUCCAGGCAAAUCCGGAAAAUCAAGGCUGAGGCGUGAUGACGAGGCACUACGGUGCUGAAGCAACAAAUGCCCUGCUUCCAGGAAAAGCCUCUAAGCAUCAGGUAACAUCAAAUCGUACCCCAAACCGACACAGGUGGUCAGGUAGAGAAUACCAAGGCGCUUGAGAGAACUCGGGUGAAGGAACUAGGCAAAAUGGUGCCGUAACUUCGGGAGAAGGCACGCUGAUAUGUAGGUGAAGUCCCUUGCGGAUGGAGCUGAAAUCAGUCGAAGAUACCAGCUGGCUGCAACUGUUUAUUAAAAACACAGCACUGUGCAAACACGAAAGUGGACGUAUACGGUGUGACGCCUGCCCGGUGCCGGAAGGUUAAUUGAUGGGGUCAGCGCAAGCGAAGCUCUUGAUCGAAGCCCCGGUAAACGGCGGCCGUAACUAUAACGGUCCUAAGGUAGCGAAAUUCCUUGUCGGGUAAGUUCCGACCUGCACGAAUGGCGUAAUGAUGGCCAGGCUGUCUCCACCCGAGACUCAGUGAAAUUGAACUCGCUGUGAAGAUGCAGUGUACCCGCGGCAAGACGGAAAGACCCCGUGAACCUUUACUAUAGCUUGACACUGAACAUUGAGCCUUGAUGUGUAGGAUAGGUGGGAGGCUUUGAAGUGUGGACGCCAGUCUGCAUGGAGCCGGCCUUGAAAUACCACCCUUUAAUGUUUGAUGUUCUAACGUGGACCCGUGAUCCGGGUUGCGGACAGUGUCUGGUGGGUAGUUUGACUGGGGCGGUCUCCUCCUAAAGAGUAACGGAGGAGCACGAAGGUUGGCUAAUCCUGGUCGGACAUCAGGAGGUUAGUGCAAUGGCAUAAGCCAGCUUGACUGCGAGCGUGACGGCGCGAGCAGGUGCGAAAGCAGGUCAUAGUGAUCCGGUGGUUCUGAAUGGAAGGGCCAUCGCUCAACGGAUAAAAGGUACUCCGGGGAUAACAGGCUGAUACCGCCCAAGAGUUCAUAUCGACGGCGGUGUUUGGCACCUCGAUGUCGGCUCAUCACAUCCUGGGGCUGAAGUAGGUCCCAAGGGUAUGGCUGUUCGCCAUUUAAAGUGGUACGCGAGCUGGGUUUAGAACGUCGUGAGACAGUUCGGUCCCUAUCUGCCGUGGGCGCUGGAGAACUGAGGGGGGCUGCUCCUAGUACGAGAGGACCGGAGUGGACGCAUCACUGGUGUUCGGGUUGUCAUGCCAAUGGCACUGCCCGGUAGCUAAAUGCGGAAGAGAUAAGUGCUGAAAGCAUCUAAGCACGAAACUUGCCCCGAGAUGAGUUCUCCCUGACCCUUUAAGGGUCCUGAAGGAACGUUGAAGACGACGACGUUGAUAGGCCGGGUGUGUAAGCGCAGCGAUGCGUUGAGCUAACCGGUACUAAUGAACCGUGAG
rnacentral:rRNA from 1 species